AUGCGGGCGCCCGUGACGCCGGCGGGCUCCGUCUCCACCGGAGAGACACCGCUUCAGCGGCCACCCGUCGUCAUCUCCUCGGCACCAUCCGCCGCAACGACAACGAGGAGGCGGCUGCUCGUGUCCGCCGGUGGCCUGCUCCUCGUCGCCGCCGCGGGCAACAGCGACGCCAGCAGGGGAGCGGCGGCGGCCGCGGUCGACCUCGGCUACGACCCGGUGACGGAGGCGGAGCGCGCGGCGAGCGCGGCCGUGUCGCAGCGCGUCGGGGAGGCCGUCCGGCUGCUGGAGGCCGGGCGGGAGCUGCAGGCGCGCGGCGAGUUCGCGGGGGCGCUGGCGUCCUUCACGGCGGUGGUGAGCGGGUACAAGGAGCUGGCGCUGUCGGAGUACGCGCGGGUGGGGCGGGCGCUGGUGCUGUACGAGAUCGGCGACCGCGACGAGUCCAUCACGGAGAUGGAGGACGUGUCGGUGGCGCUCAAGGGGUACCCGGAGAUCCACGCCGCGCUGGCGGCGGCGCUGUACGCCGACAAGCACGCGCCGCUGCUGGCCGAGUUCCAGUUCAACAUCGCCACGCUGCUGGACCCGCACUACUCCGACCUCGCCUACGUCAGGGACACCAAGCACUGGCCGCCCAGCCUCGUCGCCUCCCUCAAGAACUUCAUUACACUCACCUAG
rnacentral:rRNA from 1 species